rnacentral:rRNA from 1 species
UACGUAGGGGGCAAGCGUUGUCCGGAUUUAUUGGGCGUAAAGAGCGUGUAGGCGGCCAUACAGGUCCGUUGUGAAAACUGGAGGCUCAACCUCCAGACGUCGACGGAAACCGUAUGGCUAGAGUCCGGAAGAGGAGAGUGGAAUUCCUGGUGUAGCGGUGAAAUGCGCAGAUAUCAGGAGGAACACCGAGUGCGAAGGCGGGUCUCUGGGCCACUACUGACGCUGAGGUGACGAAAGCGUGGGGAGCAACAGG